CUUACUUCCUCUUAUUUGUUUCAGGCGAAUGUAUACCCAUCCACCUGAUGGUUUUCUUAGUUUAUCAAGCAGUCCACGAACGCCAACAUUCCAGCCAAUGCACUAUCCAUCUCAUGUCCCCCCUCCUAGACAACAGCAACAGGAGAAUCUCCAUUUUGUCGGUGUCCCCUCACAUGUUGCAUUCUCAACACCACCACCACCAGUUCAUACUAAAAGGAAAAAAAACACCAUCCGAGUCUGGUUCUGGUAGAGGUUCUUUACAAAAAAAAGGCCCAUGUUGUAGAACAGGCCGGUGAUGUCUUUGGUUGUCAUGAGGCUGGCCGGUGAGAAUGCCACGUUGCUGGAGCCAAAUGAGCCCGGCGUAAACCUGCGGAGGAACAUGACAGAUACAGGAUUUUCUGAAAAUGAAAGCGAGUUCACCAUGACUACGACAGAUACUAGAUAAGCGGAAGCCGUGUUCGGAGCCACCAACAGUGUCUUCCUUGGAUUCGUUCGUGCAAUAAGGAGGGUACCCGGCCUUCUUCACGUGUCGAGCAACAAGGGUGAUCGAGGAGGAUUUUCGUGGCCCGGUGGGUGUCGUGCUCUUCAACCACUUGGAGGUGGACUUCACCGUGAAGCCCAGUGACUACUGCACACAGAUGAUCAUCCAGGUGAUCGCGAUGUCGGAGGUCGCCAAGGUGGAGGUCCUCGACGCCACCGUCCGGGGGGAGGUCCACCGGUGUCUGAACUCCAAGCCUUAGUAGAUACAUCUAGAGAAGUGGUCUGUUUAGGUUGGUGGUGGAAUGCUAGGGAAGGUACCCACCUUUAGAUGAUGGUUGUGU